UACGUAGGGAGCAAGCGUUGUCCGGAUUUAUUGGGCGUAAAGAGCUCGUAGGCGGCUUAGCAAGUCAGAUGUGAAAACUCCAGGCUCAACCUGGAGACGCCAUUUGAUACUGCUAUGGCUUGAGUUCGGUAGGGGACCAUGGAAUUCCUGGUGUAGCGGUGAAAUGCGCAGAUAUCAGGAAGAACACCUAUGGCGAAAGCAGCUCUCUGGGACGGUACUGACGCUGAGACGCGAAAGCGUGGGGAGCGAACAGG
rnacentral:rRNA from 1 species